rnacentral:rRNA from 1 species
GACGAACGCUGGCGGCGUGCCUAAUACAUGCCAGUAGAACGCACAGUUUAUACCGUAGCUUGCUACACCAUAGACUGUGAGUUGCGAACGGGUGAGUAACGCGUAGGUAACCUGCCUGGUAGCGGGGGAUAACUAUUGGAAACGAUAGCUAAUACCGCAUAAUAUUAAUUAUUGCAUGAUAAUUAAUUGAAAGGUGCAAUUGCACCACUACCAGAUGGACCUGCGUUGUAUUAGCUAGUAGGUGAGGUAACGGCUCACCUAGGCGACGAUACAUAGCCGACCUGAGAGGGUGAUCGGCCACACUGGGACUGAGACACGGCCCAGACGCCUACGGGAGGCAGCAGUAGGGAAUCGUCGGCAAUGGACGAAAGUCUGACCGAGCAACGCCGCGUGAGUGAAGAAGGUUUUCGGAUCGUAAAGCUCGGUUGUAAGAGAAGAACGGGUGUGAGAGUGGAAAGUUCACACUGUGACGGUAUCUUACCAGAAAGGGACGGCUAACUACGUG